GAUGAACGCUGACAGAAUGCUUAACACAUGCAAGUCAACUGUGGCGGACGGGUGAGUAACGCGUAAAGAACUUGCCUCACAGCUAGGGACAACAUUUGGAAACGAAUGCUAAUACAUGAAACUGUGAGAGAGCUUUGCGUCCAAUUAGCGAGUUGGAGAGGUAACGGCUCACCAAGGCGAGGAUGGGUAGCCGGCCUGAGAGGGUGAUCGGCCACAAGGGGACUGAGACACAGCCGUUACUCCUACGGGAGGCAGCAGUGGGGAAUAUUGGACAAAGGACCAAAGUCUGAUCCAGCAAUUCUGUGUGAACGAUGAAGUUUUCGGAAUGAAAAGUGCUUUCAGUUGGGAAGCGGUACCAACAGAAGAAGUGACGGCUAAAUACGUGCCAGCAGCCGCGGUAAUUC
rnacentral:rRNA from 1 species